rnacentral:rRNA from 2 species
UACGGAGGGUGCAAACGUUGCUCGGAAUCAUUGGGCGUAAAGCGCACGUAGGCGGUCCAGCAAGUCGGGAGUGAAAUCCCUCGGCUUAACCGAGGAAGUGCUUUCGAAACUACUGGACUUGAAUACUGGAGAGGGUUGCGGAAUUCCCGGUGUAGAGGUGAAAUUCGUAGAUAUCGGGAGGAACACCAGUGGCGAAGGCGGCAACCUGGACAGAUAUUGACGCUGAGGUGCGAAAGCGUGGGGAGCAAACAGG